GAUGAAGAACGUAGCGAAACGCGAUAAGUAAUGUGAAUUGCAGAAUUCAGUGAAUCAUCGAAUCUUUGAACGCACAUUGCGCCCGCCAGUAUUCUGGCGGGCAUGCCUGUUCGAGCGUCAUUACAACCCUCAGGCCCCCGGGCCUGGCGUUGGGGAUCGGCGGAGCCCCCCGUGGGCACACGCCGUCCCCCAAAUGCAGUGGCGGUCCCGCCGCAGCUUCCAUCGCGUAGUAGCUAACACCUCGCGACUGGAGAGCGGCGCGGCCACGCCGUAAAACACCCAACUCUUCUGAAGUUGACCUCGAAUCAGGUAGGAAUACCCGCUGAACUUAAGCAUAUCAAUAAGCGGAGGA
rnacentral:misc_RNA from 1 species